UGCGCCAAGCACGCAAGUGAGCAAACUGGUCUUUCCCAUCCGGCGAGAGCGCACAGUCUCUCGCUGAGUAAGCAGCCGAGGUCAGCAAGAGCAGCAACAGCAGCUGGCACUGACAAGCCACCCGUAUUACAGCGACUCUCCGACCGAGUCGCUGUCUUUCUGCUUCUCGGCGCCGGUAUGCAAGGACGUCCUGCGUACCUGUAAAAACAUCGCGUGCACUUGUUUUUCGUCUUAUCUAACCCUUUCCUGCAUUUUGGGCACGCAUCGGCUUCCUAGCGUGUAUCGCGUCCGCUAAAGAGCGACUUUUUACACGUGGGACACAGGCAGUUCAGCUGGAACACUCCGGCACGAGAGAUGAAGUUCAUGGACGUAGCGCUGGCCGCAGAGGCGGUCGUCAUCAUCACCGUCAUCCUCACAGUGCCCUACACGGAGAUCGACUGGAAGGCGUACAUGGAGGAGGUGGAGGGGUUUCUUGCUGGCGAGCUGGACUACCGCAACCUUAAGGGCGGCACCGGGCCACUGGUCUACCCGGGCGGCUUUGUGUGGGUGUACAGUGCCCUCUACUAUCUCACCAAGAAGGGUGAGGCCAUUGAGCUGGCCCAGUGGAUAUACGCCGGCGUCUACCUUGUGACCUUGACAAUGAUCUUGCGCCUCUACACCCGCUCCGGGCACACGUGGCAAACCAUGAUACCGCUCUUCGUCUCCAAGCGCAUUCGCAGCCUCUACGUGCUGCGACUUUUCAACGACUGCUGGGCCAUGCUGUUCCUGUUCGCUGCCGUCUCCUUCAUCGCUGGCCGCCCCAGCGGCGCCGCCAAGCGCUCGCGUCAGUGGCUCAUUGGGUGCCUCUGCUACUCUAUCGCCGUGUCCAUCAAGAUGAACGUGCUCCUCUUCGCGCCAGGCAUGCUUUACGUGAUGCUCCGCACACUCCCUUUCUGGCGAGUCGCGUGGUACCUGCUUGUCUGUGCGGCGUGGCAAGUGGCCGCAGGCUUGCCUUUUCUGGCCUACGACCAUAGGGCCUACUUAUCGAAGAGCUUUGAGCUUGAUCGCGUCUUUCUGCAGCGGUGGUCGGUAAACUAUCAAUUCCUCAAUUCCGAACUUUUUGCUAAGCCUGAGUUUGGCCAGGCGCUGCUCGCGAUGACAGUUGCAACGUGGGUUUUGCUGUGGCGCACGCGCUGGGCCGCACGCACCUACUUGACGGAUGCGGAGGUGCAUGUAUCGCAUCCGGCAAUUUCCGAUACACGUCGGCAGAACACGCUCUUGCGCCGCGGCGCUGCCGACGGUGACAAGACGAUGGACAACGAGGCACAGGAGCAGGCAGUAUACGCGUCCACACUGCUCACUUUCUUCGAGGCCAACCUUGUCGGCGUCAUAUUUGCCCGCUCCAUUCAUUACCAGUUCUACACGUGGUUCUUCUACACUGUUCCCUUUGUUCUCGCCUACACGACGUUCCCACGGGUGCUGCGGCUUGUGAGCUUUGCCCUCAUCCGCCAGGGGUUCGAGUCGUUCCCACCGACGCCGAAGACGUCGAUGAUGCUACAAGGUGGCUUUGCCUUGAUGCUGUUUGCGAUCCUCUUUAUGGGCCGUGAAGCUCGUCCAGCUGCCACGCGGGAGGAAACGCAUCCGGCCCGGGACAAUGAACCAAAGUUGCCACAAACACAGGGGACAGCUGGCGCAACAGGCGAGAAGAAAAUACGGUGAGGCGGACGUCACAUCCUAAGCCACUGCUACGCCCGUUGUGGGGGCACUGACAGCGGAUGCCGUUGCAACUGCAAAGAGCCCAUCGCCACGGGAAUUGGUCUCGCCUCCUGCGCGGGCAGGCCAGGCCAAAGCCGCUUCCCCAGUAGGCAGCAAUGAAAUCCACCACUGCCACCAAGAAGUCCAAGUGGUGAUCAGCACGCGCCAUCAGACAGGUUCUCUGCGCGACCCUCCAGUAACUCGCUCUUUCUUCACCUGAAGUGUUGGGCUCGCAUAGAUGUCCGGGCUGUGGUCGGUGAUUGGCCAUCGUCUCGUUGUGGUGCAUUUCUGCCGUCAUCGCUCCCUCUCGCGCGUUUAUCAGCGGCGGCGCAGUGGAACCCGGGGGCGCGCUCGGACGCCUCAAGGUGUCUUUGUCUGCCUUUCUGUGUGUGUGUGUGUGCCAGUGUGUGAUGAUGAGUCCAUCGAAACCCCUUUACGCUUUACAUUUUUUGCGGCGGCUCGCCUCGCGCACAACCUGUGGCUUUUCUCUGAAAGAGAAGGGGUUUAACAGAUGCUGGAGAGGAGUUUGUGCGAUAGCGUGUCCUGCUAACACGAACACGCCGACCGACAUAUGCCGACAACCACAGUUGACGUAUCUCUGUAGCACUGCAGCUAUGUAAAGGAGCCGGGCCCACCAAAACCGUUUGGCGACGUUCAGCCCAGUGCGAUUCCACUGCGGACAGCGCGCCCUGGGUCCAAGAUCAAGCUCAGCACCACCGCCAUGCAGCAAAGGACGAAAAAAAAAACAGUAGGUGGAUGCGGAUCUUCGCUGAAUCAUGGGCCCGCUUCGUAGCGAGCUGCUACAAACGCGGUCAUGACUGCAAGUCUAUCCAGCUGAGCGUCAACUCACACCUGCCCGCCGGCACCAAGAAUCCGCAACCGUACCCGAGGGCAUGCUGCAAGCUGCUUGGCUUUCUCACAGAGUGGGAACUACACUGUGAUAUCACAGCGAAAUGGCCGGCGUUGUCAGGGAUGCCGAAGACGAAACGGAAAAAGUGACAGCUGAGUGUAGAAGUUGCAUGUGCAUGCCUACAAGCGUGUAUAUACGCAUGUGCGUGUGUGUGUGCGACGCCCCUUCAAGCGAUUUGUCCUACAUAGCGUAAACAUCUUCAUUCUCUCGCCCUCAAUUCAAAUGUGGCAGCCGCUUCUGCGAUGCGUGAAGGUCGUGUGUGGCUCCCUCUCUGGCCCUCUCACACAGUGCACGAAUCGAGCAACUAGAAGGUGCACGAGCCUUCCGCGCCAAUGAAC
rnacentral:misc_RNA from 1 species